UUUCUGCCUCACUCGCCAGACCUGCAAACCUGAUUCAAUGUCAUAUUUCAAUGCAACGAGCGGUGUCUGGCUUUUUUGAGCAGAAAUGUUUUUUUUUACAAAGUCAUUUAAAAGAGAGGAACCCCUGCAUGUGAGAUGCCAAGUCCCAGGUUGGACAGAUAAUAGUGUGGGUUCUGGAAGUCUUGCUAACCUGCUGAUGGCUUAUGGAAUGCCAGUAGAUUAGUCAGGCCAGUUAUAUUUUGCCACAUCGUUUUCUUUCUUAAAUCAUUGGAUUUCCCGGGAGAAAGAUCGCCAUCGGGAUGCUUUGUGGCUGUUUCCAGCACUGAAUGGCUAAGGAGUGGAUGCAGAGGUGUGGUGGGAGAGCCUGUGACACAUUCCCAUGGAUGACAUUUGAAAUUAUACACCAGACCAACAGUCUCAAAGGUUAUUGCCAGCAGUUUCACUACAAUACUGCCAGUCUAGUCCAGUCGGAAAGUGAAGAAUUUAUUGAAGUUCGGAAAGCCCGAAGGAUCGAGAAAAGUUGGUGUGGUCGGCGAUAAAACAGGGCCGACUUGCUAGCUCAAUGCUCAACCCAGCACAGAUGGAGAGCGUGUGAGGAACCGGUUGGGCUCGAACCCAGGACCACUCGCCUCGAAGUCCAGUGCGGAUACCAGUACAUCACCGACCAGUUUAUGUGUAAAUGUAUGUGGCAAAUAAAGUUGAUCCUGGAUGCUCCUCCCACUUCUAAAACUGUUCUCUCACUGCCUCACUGACUGAAAAUUCAUCCCAUCGGCCAACAAACAAUCGCUCACCCAUGACCUUUCCCUUCACAUAUCAAUCAACAGGAACCCCUGUUGCCAAACACUCCUGUGACUGUUAGGACACAAUUUCCUUUGUGUUCUCUGCAAAAGGAGAUCCUUGAAUGUACAGAAACUGUUCAAUAGCAGUAUUGAAUUUCCACUGGUAAACCCAAAAGCAAACAAACAUCUUUUCAUCUGCUGUGAGCAUGUGCUCCUGCCUUACUUCCUGCCCAUUACGACACUGGCAUUUAGGACAGCAAUGAAGGUCCUCCAUCUCUGUCUGUCCUUGGUCACUCAGAUGCAGAAGGAUUCUUCAUUGCUCUUUCUGUAUCAGUUUUGUUUCACCAGUUUUGUUUCAGUCAGGGUUGUUAGCCCUGAGCUGAGCCCCCAAACAUGGAAGAUUAGUGGAUCACUUUACCCUUUGAUCCAUUUAGCAUGGGUGACCCUACCAAGAGCCAAAGCAUAAAGCCCUGACUCCAGACAACAUUACUCUCUGGGUUAUUGAGGCACACAAGUCUCCAAACCCAACAACAAGGUUGUGGCACACUUGGAGGGGAGAAUAUCUCCAACACACCCUUAAUGGCUCUGCCCGGAAUACUGCAGCCUUCACAUAUCAUGUUAUGUUUUGUCGAAAGAAGCUACUCACUGACUUUUAAACAUAUGAAACUUUUUAAUACUUUUUCUGGUUAUUUCAAUUUUACUGUAUUGUGAGAGACAGUACUUAGAAAUUACUGUGGUGUGGAAUUCCAAUCAGCAGCAAGGGGAGGCGUAGAGUACUUCUGGGGUUAAAAUAUCUCAGGUACUGGAAAUCUGAAGUAAGAACUGGAAACGUUGGAAAAACUCAGCAUACGAGGCAGUAUCUGUGAAGAAAGGCUUAUUAUUCUGAUGAAAGAGCACUGUCCUGCAUUCUGUUUCUCUUACUCUUUUUAAGAGUCGAAAAGACCUAUGAAGACUUCAAUUUGCAAUUGUGUCAUUAUCUCUUCCAACCAAUGAUGACAAACAGAUGGAAAAUUUGACCUAAAUUUCUUGAAAUCCCUGAAAAUAUGAAAUCAGCAUUGGUAUUGUUCUGUUACUUUCAUUCGCUGAGAACGGAUAUAAUAUCUGACAAUCAGAUUUAAUCCUGGAAAGUAUGUUCUAUUGUUUUGUGAUGAAUAUAACAUGUACUUCCUCUGUUUAAUCUGUAAAUCAACAGCCAUUAGUUUUCCGGUAAUGCAAAUGUAUAUCAGCAUUACGUUGUCUUUCUGGUUGCUCCCAGUUUGGGCGAUUUUAAAUCUGGGCAGUCUGCAGAUAACGAACACUGAGCUAAACUGAACAUGCUUGGAUUCUUUCGUUUCUGGGUUUUAUAUUCUGUGCUUUUCACUCAUUUAUUUGUUGCCAUUUGCAUGACUUGAUUUUGUUUGCUCGUAUCUAGGGGGCAGUGGGGGGAUUAGGCUUGACAUUUAUUGUUUGAGCAUUUCCGUGGUUCUCUUCAUUUCGUGGCUGUCUUUGGGGAAGUCGAGUCUCAGAGUUGUAUACUGCAUACAUACUUUGAUAAUAAAUGUAUUUUGAAUCUUUGAA